CCAUAUAUCACCUCAGGAGUCUUGUUAAAAUGCAGAUUCUGAAUCAGGAGGUCAGUGAUAGAGCCAGAAAGUCUGCAUUUCUAACAGGCUCCCCAGUGAUGCCAAU
rnacentral:pre_miRNA from 1 species